GCCGGAAACAGGGUCGAGUUUCGGGUGGGCUAUCAUUGUGGAUGUCAGUUGGCCAUCGAAAUCGAACCGGCCGACGGUUUUCAAAUCACCCGCCGGAGUGACUCUGAUUUGGUAAGGCAAAUCGUCCUCCGACAUGGCAAGAAGCCGGCCGUUGAAAAAGACCAGACCGGCGUUAGCGACUCCAAUUCCAUGGUUGUGAUCGACAAGGCCAAAUAAUCCUCUGGCAUAGAAAAGCAUCAGCCGAGCUAUCCCAGAGUGACCAUGGAGUUCGCCGAUCGCCUUUGGGAAUACCGGCCGGCCGUAAGCUCGCUCCUGAACCAGCCGUUGGGUCUCCGUGAACCGGCAAGCGUAACUAACACCGCCGCCCUCAGAGAAUUCCACAGCGUGAACCAUCCCAUCACCGUCGAACAAAUGAUGACCGGACACGGGUUCGUGAAGUGGG
rnacentral:misc_RNA from 1 species